AGUGAACGCUGGCGGUAGGCCUAACACAUGCAAGUCGAACGGCAGCACAGUAAGAGCUUGCUCUUACGGGUGGCGAGUGGCGGACGGGUGAGGAAUACAUCGGAAUCUACUUUUUCGUGGGGGAUAACGUAGGGAAACUUACGCUAAUACCGCAUACGACCUACGGGUGAAAGCAGGGGAUCUUCGGACCUUGCGCGAUUGAAUGAGCCGAUGUCGGAUUAGCUAGUUGGCGGGGUAAAGGCCCACCAAGGCGACGAUCCGUAGCUCGUCUGAGAGGAUGAUCGGCCACACUAGAACUGAGACACGGUCCAGACUCCUACGGGAGGCAGCAGUGGAGAAUAUUGGACAAUGGGCGCAAGCCUGAUCCAGUCAUACCGCGUGGGUGAAGAAGGCCUUCGGGUUGUAAAGCCCUUUUGUUGGGAAAGAAAAGCAGCAGGUUAAUACCCCGCUGUUCUGACGGUACCCAAAGAAUAAGCACCGGCUAACUUCGUG
rnacentral:rRNA from 1 species